AUCAGGUAAGUAAAGUUAGCUAGCUAGCUAGCUACCGUUACUUCUAAAUCAACCACAUCGCUCGUUUUAGCCAACAAGAUAACGCUACUAACAUCUAACUUAUUGAGAUAUAUGUAUAAUAUCUGUACCAGAUUCAAACUAACGUUAAUGUUAGCUAACGUUAACUUACCAGGGUUCAGUUUUGCUAAUGUUGCAUUGUCUUGCUAGUAACAGGCUAGUAAAACACACGAUGAAAGCCCUGACUUUGUCCCAUCAGUCUUUUCCUACUCAACCCAGCAGUGUGACAACAAACGUGCUGCAAAACUUGAGAGGUAACAUUAAAUCACUUUCCGAUGUUGCUCACUUGGAUCACGUAACGUGCAAAUAAUGGCAUCAAUAAUGGCAAUUAUUACCUACUAGACCAAAUCGUUUGUUAUGUCUGCAUAGUCUAAGCCAGUUGAGUCAUGCACUUUACACUUGACUUGAUUUGGGAACAUGAUUAGCCCUUAUGGUUAACUUUGGAAAUUAAUUUUGUACUGACCCUGCUCUCUUCUCUGAGUAUUGGGUUUAAGAGAAUAAGAAAAAGGGAUGACAGCACCCACAGACCAGCAGGUGGACCCCAGUCCCACUCCACCCCCAGGUCAGAUGGAUGCCAGUUCACCCACAGAUCCACAGAUGAUUCACACCAGUCCACAGCCGUCAUUGAUGAGGUUCCAAAUGAUGACAGAAUGGAGCCCGUUGCUGGUCCUUGCACUGAAGCCACGGUCCCAAAGGUUCUACAUUAACUAGAAUUGUCUUGUUAACUAAAAUUAAAUAGCUCUUGUUGCCUUGAUCAUUUAUGUACUCCUAUUCUCACCCUCCAUUCCCAUCCAGACCAGGC